rnacentral:lncRNA from 10 species
UUAGGGAGCUUAGAUGUUAAAUGAGAGAGCACAGGACAGACCCAGGAACAUGUUCAACAAGUACUGCUGCUGUAGGGAGACUCCAUCUCUAUAGACAAAAAUUUUAAAAUAUUAGCUAGGAGUGGUGGCACACACCUGUGGUCCCAACUACUCAGGAGGCUGAGGUGGGAGGAUCACUUGAAUCUGGGACUGCAGUGAGCUGUGAUCACGCCACUGCACCCUAGCUUGGGCGACAGAGUGAGACCUUGUCUUAAAAAAAGAAAAAAACAAAAAAAAGGAAAAUAGGUUUCUUUACUUUUUGGUAGUGCAAACAACAAUGUGCACAUUCAAGGCUAGUGUUUGGAGACAGGAGCCAUGCUCCAUAUGCCUCUACAUCUUCCAGUCUUCCCCACCGCUCCUUUGGGGGAGUUGGGGGUUGCAUUCUCUGUUAUUGCCAAUGGGGCCUGUGUUUUCUAAUAGUCUAUGAGUCAGAAUCCUUCCUCUGUCACCAUAUCCCUUCAUCUCUGGUUCCUUUUCCUUUUCCUCCACAUGCAUCCCUGGAGAAGCACUCCACCAAUAGCAAGCAGAGUUGAGACUAGAAUAGAGGAGAAUGCAGUUAGAGAAGGGCUUGGAAAUGGCAAGGUUGGCAGGAAAGUAGUGUGAAAGUCUACGAGAAAGUGGCAAGGGAGCUAAAGGAAGGUAAAACAGUCGUCACACUGUAAGUCUGAUCCUAGAGUGAAGAAAGGAAGGCUGAGUGGAGUGUUGUGUUUUUUUUUUUUUUCCUUGAGACGAAGUCUCACUCAUUGCCCAGGCUGCAGUUGAGUGGAGUGAUC